rfam:Eucalyptus grandis cultivar BRASTZ1 unplaced genomic scaffold scaffold_7, whole genome shotgun sequence.
AUUUGUGAGAGAGAGCUUUCUUCAGUCCACUCAUGGAUGGAAUAAAGGGGGUUGAAAUAGCUGCCGACUCAUUCAUUCAAUCACACAGUAGAGAACAUGGGGCAAAUUAGUUUGUGCUUUUACUGGUGACUGUGUGAAUGAUGCGGGAGAUACUUUGCACCCCUCUUUUUCUGUGCUUGGACUGAAGGGAGCUCCUUCUCUCUCUUCA